UACGGAGGAUCCAAGCGUUAUCCGGAUUUAUUGGGUUUAAAGGGUGCGUAGGCGGCUUAUUAAGUCAGGGGUGAAAGACGGUGGCUCAACCAUCGCAGUGCCUUUGAUACUGAUGAGCUUGAAUGAACUAGAGGUAGGCGGAAAUGUGACAAGUAGCGGUGAAAUGCAUAGAUAUGUCACAGAACACCGAUUGCGAAGGCAGCUUACUAUGGUUUUUAUUGACGUGAG
rnacentral:rRNA from 1 species